rnacentral:misc_RNA from 1 species
AGAAAACAAGUGGAAUGAGUUAGUUGGUAAGUCAAUGUGCGGUGUUUCAGGUGCUGCUUCAGAGUCAACAUUCUUCCAUCUCUAAAUCACUGAAAAUCCUAAUAAUUGAAUUUGACCUCUACUCCACUAUCACUACUACUUGAUACUCGAAUAGACCUCUUCUUUGCUACACUCCUUGAUUCAGCUUCCAACAACUGAGGAUUCUUCUGCCGUAACGACUACAACUCUUGGUGUGCAUAAUUUGAGCGGCAGUGACGAAUAUUAGGAAGACAAGAGAGUCGUUUGACAACUCCUCCUCCAAAAGAACACGGAAACCAAAAUAGCAGCGUAGCCCAGCAUUUAUUCCAGUCCUUGUUUUGGGAUCGAGGUCCUUUCUUAAGCGAACAGGACUCCUUCCUCUUCCUCUAGGUUCUUCCAAGAACCUUCUUUCAGUCAUAAUUUUUGAGACUUCGUCCCCCAAAAUUCUAUUCAUUGUGGCGUCCCAAAGCCCCGAAAUGGGUGAUCACUGCCCCAAAAUGAAUGGAAAUACUCAAAGUAUAGCGGACUAUUUAGCGCAAUUACUCAAGGAUAAAAAGCAGUUGGCUGCUUUCCCCAACGUCUUCAAUCAUCUUGAGCGACUUCUGGAUGAAGAAAUAAGUAAAGUGCGAGGCAACUUGUUUCAAAUCAACGGCGCAGCAAAGGAACCUCUGGUCCUUCCGGAUGGCGUCGGACCUCCAAUAACGCAAUCAGAAAAAGUAUAUGUUCCCAUCAAAGACUACCCAGAUUUUAAUUUUGUGGGACGUAUCCUGGGUCCUCGCGGAAUGACAACAAAACAAUUAGAGCAAGAAACUGGUUGUAAGAUCAUGGUUCGAGGGAAGGGCUCAAUGCGAGAUAAAAAGAAGGAGGACAGUAAUCGCGGAAAACCCAAUUGGGAGCACUUAAAUGAUGAUCUUCAUGUCUUAAUCACGGUCGAGGAUUCAGAAAAUCGAGCUGCUGCUAAGCUACAAAGGGCUGUCGCCGAAGUCAGAAAAUUACUCACAGUGUCUGAAGGUGAAGACGAAUUGAAAAAGCGUCAACUCAUGGAGUUGGCCAUUAUCAAUGGUACUUAUCGAGAUUCAAAUUCAAAAACGUCUUCUCCUGGACUUGAUGCACAAAAUCGCUACCUAACCCAGGCAGGAACUCAACAAGCAUUGCAGACAAUGGUUAAUCAACAAAAUGCUUUACGUUCAGCAGCUCCAUUGGGAGGUGCACCCCUUAUACUCUCUCCACGCCUCCAAGUUCCCACCACAUUGUCUAGUGCUGUUGGAGGUCUCCUUAAUGGCUCAGGGGGACCUCCUCCUUUGAUUGCGGCCAAUGAUACACAAGGCUUACUCUACGCUCAGUAUGCAGCUGCGGCCUCAGACUAUGCUAAUUAUCCUGGACUCGUUUCUCCUCUUCUAGCUACUGCAGAAUACGCGGAUCCCACGGGAAUUGAAUCAACAAGGUGCUAUAUUUGUUGUAAUGAACUCAACUCUCAGACUUUUUUUUUGUUUUUUCAUAAUUUAAAGAGAUACAAGUAAAAAAAAAGAAAGCAAGUUGUUUGUCCGUGCAUUCAUUCGUUAUAUUCACUAUUAUUUUUUUGUAUAUUAUACUGUCUAUGUAUUUACCCAAAUUGCUGUAGUCCCCAUUUCAUAGUUGUUGUUUAUGAUGAUAUUCUAUCCGUGCCAUCUUCAUUAAUGUACUUCUUAAGUGAUUUAAUGGAAAGCUAGUCUUAAUGAAUGGAAAAAACAAACUCUUUUUCCAUUUUACUAUCCCACACACCAAAGCUAUAAACCAAGUGGGGAAAAAUUAUUUUCACAUCAAAACAUACAGUGUAUUUUGUUGUCAACUGUAUAUAGGUAUAUAUCUCCCUUAUUUUCUUCUAAUCAUUGUUUUAAACAACUUUAGUGUCUGUAAUUAUAAUUAGCUCUGAACACUGAUAGUAACUGAUAGCUUUAUACCCUUUUCGGAAGAAAUGCUCACUGAUGCAAUAUAGGUUACGCCCACUGAGAUUAAAAACAUUGAUAUGAUGAAGAGCAAAUUGAGCAAAACAAUCCAAUUGUAGUAUGCUAAAACAUGGGCUUCAAAUAUUUUAUUCCAUUCGAUCCCCUAUCUGUUUUUUACAUUUGAUUAUAUUUUUGUAUGUUUUAUACAAGUAUAGAUUGAUUCCAUACAAGAUCUUCUGAAGGGAUGUAUGUAUAAAUAACUAUAUUUCCCAGUGUUUUCUUAAACUAAAUACCUGUUUAAAAAAAAAAAAUCCCCUUGUUUUCGCUCAGUGUGUAUUUUAUCUCUAUUUUGUUACGGACAUUCCUUUGUAAUUAAUUUAGUUCAAAAGGGUGAAUUCAUCAUAUAAUUGAGGGAGUAUGAUAUAUUUUUAUAUUAUUUGAAAAUUAACGGGAAUAAUUAAUUGAUAAUUAUGGCAUAAAUACCCUAUCAACAGCUGACGUAUUCUCGAGUUGAUCCUUAAUAGAAACUUAAUUGUUCCAUGUAUAUAUUCUCUUUGGUACCUAGGUACAUAUAAUGAUGUGAGAGUCCUUAUUUAAGACUCCAGUCCCGUCCAGUUCAAUCUUGCUUCAUAUCAGUGCUAAAACUGAUACAUUUCAGUCGUUGAUGACGUCACUCAAUAUUAUUAUUUUUCCUUUUUUUUAAAUCAGCUCUAGUACUGACAGUCUGAAGGAUAAUUAGUCCCUAGGACUAAUAGGACCAGUCCUAAGAAUGGACUGGACCGGAUUAAUUAGGACACGUACAACACUACCUAUUUAUACUAAACGCCCCCUAGUGGACAAAAAUGUACUGUUGUAGCCAUUUAUAUUUGUUCAAAUAUAAAUUUCACCACUUGGCUUAUAGUUUUCCUCUACUCACCCCCAACAUACACAUAUUUCAAUUUCCCUUUAAUUUCUCUAUAUCUCCGAAGAAGUACCUACACCUCUCGAAGAGCAAAAAAACAAAGGAUUGUUGAUUCCUUCAUAUUUUAUACAAACUUCUUUUUUUUUUUUUUUAAAACAUCUUCCUUAUUUUUUUUUCUUCAUAUUUGUUUAAUAUAUAUAUUUACUAUUAUUUUAUAACCAAUACAGGUGUUGCUAGAAUCCAGGCAGCUUCUGCCGGUGGAAAGAAGGAUAGGCGGCCUUUGGGUCAGUCAGGCCAACAUCGAUCACAUCCUUAUGUUAAUCCUAGAACCUAAAAAUAUUAAUUCAAUAUUUUUUUAGGCAAGUCUUAUCAAUUAAUAUCACACUAAUAUGGAUAAAUAACUCUCUCGUUGUUAAUCAAGCUUCUCUCUUAACAUGGAAAAAUAAGUUCGAUCCAUGCAGCAUCCGGGGGAAAUCAUUAAUGCUCCUUCUUCUCACCAACACUCUUCUUCUUCUUCUUCUAUUUCUUCUUCUUAGACUUAGUGCUUAAAACAUUUUUAAUGCUUACUUAGCUUCACUUACAUAUAUGCAUUGCAAUUAUGUGUUAAGUCAGCAAGGAAGGAGCAAUACAAAUGGAUCCAAUACGACUACUCUGUACAUCAAUCAAAAAGUAUACAUAUAUGUAAUAUUAGCAUAAUAUCCCUGCGAUGUCUCCCCAUACCUCUAUACCCCCUUAAAUCUCUCCUCUUCUCCUUCUUUUCCACCCUCCUUAUCCUCCUUCUCUUGAAGAUCCAUCAAUCCUAACAAUCAAAUAACUUCAUGCCACCUUUCUCGGAAUCUCACUACGUUUACUACUACUUAUUUACAUUAAUAUUCAAUCUACCACUACUUAAUCCGUGUAUGUAUAUUCGACUAAUAACCAAAUCAACUGCUCCGGGGUCUUUGCCACGUGUGUGUGUCUCUCUCUUACUUACAUAUGUACGUUCGUAUAUACAUGUACUAUCUCAUUCAUUCGCUCACUCAGUAGUCUUUACCUCCUUUCUUCCUUCCUUCCUUCCUCGAUGGAUGGAGGAACGGAGGCCCAUUUAAUCAUGCAUAAUAUCAUUGUAAAAGGUUAUAUUUAUUGCAUAUGGGAAAUAUCAUCAACUUAGGACACAGUACACGUGUUCUAGCUCACUAAAUCCUGACCUCUUUUCUUAUUUACUUGAUGGAUGGAUGGAUGAUAAAGGAACAGAGACUCGUAUUACUCACCGUAAUAUCAAUGCGUAUGGAGGAUAUCGCAACAUCGGGGAUUGAAAACACUAUAGAAGAAGCAUGAGUAGAGAAGAUUAAAAGAAGGGGUCUGUAAGACUCCCAAGGGGAAGGGGGGCAUCUACCUACUGUAGAAGCUAUGUUAUAGUCGGUCAGUAUGUAUGUAGUAGUUGGUAUGGAUGAGGUAAGGAAGGGAUUUUUUUUUUAAAUUUUGUUGUGCCAUGAAGACGUGUUUUAUUUGCUGAUGUCGUUCCUCGUGCCAAAAGAAAGGAAAUUUAGUAGUUUAGAAAUAAUAUUAUAUACAUACAUAGUGAAUUAACAAAAAAAAAAUUAAAAAAAAAAAAAAAAUGGAGGAACUCUAUCUCUGGUUGUUGUAAUCUCCUAUUUCUCCCCGUCCAAUAAGUAUAUAUACAUUUAUUUAUAAUAUACCUAUAUAAAAUGCAUUGUUGUUGAUGAAUACGAAAACCACAUUUUCAGGAUCUUCCAAUAUUUUUUAUAUAUUAAAGAUUAUUAUAUAAUUAUAAUUAUAUUCCUCGUUUGUUUCUUACUCUUUCAUUAUUAUCCAGUGUUGUUACUCUUGUAUAUUUAAAUUUGUCACACUCAAUCCAUAAUAUUGUUACUAUAAUUAUUAUUAUUUUGACCACAUUUAAUUGUAAUUGUUAAUAUUAUUCACCCCACCACCACUUAUUGAUAUUAAAUAUAUUAUGUACCAUACCCCCAGAGUGGCCCCCCUAAUUCAUUCCGCCUCAUCCAUGUGCUUCUACAUCAACAACUUUAUUUCUUACAUUUUGUUAGUUAAUGAACAAAUCCCUUCUUCCCUCCUUUCCUCUCCUCAAUCGGCGAAGGGGCUCGCUCAGGAUUGAUAUAUGUACUAUUAUGUACAAUGCGUCCGAGUGGGCCCUCAUUCAUUUAUGUAUAAUUACCGCCUAUCCGGUAUAUUUGUCUACAUCAGUUCCUUUCUUUGUUCAAGGAGUACUCUAUACGUGGAGCAGGGACUCUUUAUUUUUUCUCUUUGAACUAAGGGCGAUUUGUGAAGAGUAGAAUAUGUAGCUAUCAACUGAAAGAGGGAAUGUGAUAUAUGUACAGCAGUACAUAGAUAUAUUCUUGUAAAACAUUUGUUACACAAAUGUUUUAAUCACAUUAUCUCUUUCGUUUACUCACUAUUCUACUAAUGGACAAAUAGCCUUAAGUUGGUCAAAAAAUAUAAGUGGAUAAAAGAGUGGAUGUUCUUCCAUGUGUAGAGUUGUCAAAAAGAACAAAUCCUUUCUUCCUACCUCUCUCUCUCUCUCUCUUUAGCUCCUCAAUGAGUGAAAGGGACCACUCCUGGCGGAUGUUUACUUUAAAAGAUAUUCGUGUCUUCCUCCUCAAUAUUUUUUAAUGCCUUGGCUGAAUUGUUGGUGCCUUAAAAAUACUUAUUAUCUAUUAUAAUGUACAUAUUCUUAUUAUGAACAAUCAUACUAUGAUGAUUUUAUUACAUACAUUUACUACACAAAGAAUGAAAACCAGAUUUUGUUUUUCCUGUGCCAUUAGUAUAUUAAUUAUUCAAUAAAGAUUAUUUUCUUGUUA